GACAGAGGUGCCAAGCGUUAGGCGGAAUCACUGGGCUUAAAGCGUGUGUAGGCGGAUCGUUAAGUACCUUGUGAAAUCCCACGGCUCAACCGUGGAACGGCUGGGUAUACUGGCGGUCUUGGGCCAUUCAGGGGCGACUGGAACAAGCGGUGGAGCGGUGAAAUGCGUAGAUAUCGCUUGGAACGCCGAAGGUGAAAACAGGUCGCUGGGGAUGUGCCGACGCUGAGACACGAAAGCCAGGGGAGCAAACGGG
rnacentral:rRNA from 1 species